rnacentral:rRNA from 1 species
UACGUAGGGUGCAAGCGUUGUCCGGAAUUAUUGGGCGUAAAGAGCUCGUAGGCGGUCUGUCGCGUCGGAUGUGAAAACCCAGGGCUCAACCCUGGGCCUGCAUUCGAUACGGGCAGACUAGAGUUCGGUAGGGGAGACUGGAAUUCCUGGUGUAGCGGUGAAAUGCGCAGAUAUCAGGAGGAACACCAAUGGCGAAGGCAGCACUCUGGGACGUGACUGACGCUGAGACGCGAAAGCGUGGGGAGCAAACAGG